AUGGAAGGCAUGCUGCACGGCGUGCCGUUCCUCUGCUGGCCGUACUUCGCUGACCAGUUCGCCAACCAGAGCUACGUGUGCAACGUGUGGGGCACCGGCAUCAAGCUUUGCCGAGACGAGCGAGGGGUCGUCACCAAGGAGGAGAUCGAGAGCAAGGUGCCACGGCUGCUCGGCGACGAGGGGGUCAAGGCGAGGGCUGCGACGUGGAAGGACAAGGCUUGUGCGAGCAUUGCAGAGGGAGGAUCCUCGCAUCAGUGCCUUCUCAAGAUUGUGAACUUGCUCGGAGAGGCGGGAUCCCAUCCCAUCACCGCGUGA
rnacentral:rRNA from 1 species